rnacentral:rRNA from 1 species
GUUUUAAAGAAAUUAAAUUUUAAGUCAAAUCUGCUCAAUGAAUUAUUAUUUAAAUAGCUGCAGUACCAAUAACUGUACAAAGGUAGCAUAAUAAUUUGUUUUUUAAUUAAAAACUAGAAUGAAUGAUUUAAUGAAAUAUAAACUUUCUCAAAUUCAAUUUAUAAAAUUAUUUUUUAAGUUAAAAAACUUAAAUUUAUUUUAAAGACGAGAAGACCCUAAAGAAUUUUUUUAUUUAAUUUUUAAUUAAUUUAAAAAUUAAAUAAUUUAAUUGGGGAAAUUUUAAAAUUUAAUUAAUUUUUAUUUAAAUAAAACAAUUAUAUUUGAAUUAUAAAUAUUUUUUAAAAAAAUAAAUUAAAUUACCUUAGGGAUAACAGCAUAAUUUUAUUUUAAAGUUCAAAUUAAUAUUAAAGUUUAU